UACGUAGGGUGCAAGCGUUGUCCGGAAUUAUUGGGCGUAAAGAGCUCGUAGGCGGUCUGUUACGUCCGCUGUGAAAACCCAGGGCUUAACCCUGGGCUUGCAGUGGAUACGGGUAGACUAGAGGCAGGUAGGGGAGAAUGGAAUUCCUGGUGUAGCGGUGGAAUGCGCAGAUAUCAGGAGGAACACCAAUGGCGAAGGCAGAUCUCUGGGCCGUAACUGACGCUGAGGAGCGAAAGCAUGGGGAGCGAACAGG
rnacentral:rRNA from 1 species